rnacentral:rRNA from 1 species
GGGGAAUUUUCCGCAAUGGGCGAAAGCCUGACGGAGCAAUACCGCGUGAGGGAGGAAGGCUCUAGGGUUGUAAACCUCUUUUCUCAGGGAAGAACAAAAUGACGGUACCUGAGGAAUAAGCAUCGGCUAACUCCGUGCCAGCAGCCGCGGUAAUACGGAGGAUGCAAGCGUUAUCCGGAUUUAUUGGGCGUAAAGCGUCCGCAGGUGGCAGUUCAAGUCUGCUGUUAAAGGUCGGGGCUCAACCCCGAACAGGCAGUGGAAACUGAACAGCUAGAGUACGGUAGGGGCAGAGGGAAUUCCCAGUGUAGCGGUGAAAUGCGUAGAGAUUGGGAAGAACACCGGUGGCGAAAGCGCUCUGCUAGGCCGAAACUGACACUCAUGGACGAAAGCUAGGGGAGCGAAUGGGAUUAGAUACCCCAGUAGUCCUAGCCGUAAACGAUGGAUACUAGGCGUUGUGAGUAUCGACCCUCACAGUGUCGUAGCUAACGCGUUAAGUAUCCCGCCUGGGGAGUACGCGCGCAAGCGUGAAACUCAAAGGAAUUGACGGGGGCCCGCACAAGCGGUGGAGUAUGUGGUUUAAUUCGAUGCAACGCGAAGAACCUUACCAGGGCUUGACAUGUCGCGRAUUUCAGGGAAACUUGAGAGUGCCUUCGGGAGCGCGAACACAGGUGGUGCAUGGCUGUCGUCAGCUCGUGUCGUGAGAUGUUGGGUUAAGUCCCGCAACGAGCGCAACCCUCGUUUUUAGUUGCCAGCAUUAAGUUGGGCACUCUAGAGAGACUGCCGGUGACAAACCGGAGGAAGGUGGGGAUGACGUCAAGUCAGCAUGCCCCUUACGUCCUGGGCUACACACGUACUACAAUGCUACGGACAAAGGGCAGCAAGUUAGCGAUGACAAGCAAAUCCCAUAAACCGUGGCUCAGUUCAGAUUGCAGGCUGCAACUCGCCUGCAUGAAGGUGGGAAUCGCUAGUAAUUGCAGGUC